GAACCAGAUCUUGGUGUACUGUUGUCAGCACCACCACAUCACAGAGAUGGACUCCUCCAUCAGCUGGUGCUUCCAGAACUGUGCUGUAGAGGCUGUACCUGCAGCUUGCCAGAUGCAGAGCAAUCUCCUGGAGCAGAUCUCUGCCUACAACAUGGGCCAGUUCAGCCAGCUCGUGUCUGCUGUCAUAGUGAAGUCAUGGCCAGUCAGGCCUGGGCAGUCUGAGGAUGAUUUUGAUACAAUUCUGCACCACCUGCUCACGUGGCCUGACAUCAAACAAAUCUUCAGCUUUAAUGG